rnacentral:rRNA from 1 species
AGGACUAACGCUGGCGGCGUGCCUAACACAUGCAAGUCGAACGAAGUAGCAAUACUUAGUGGCAGACGGGUGAGUAACACGUAGUCAACCUGCCCUUCAAUAGGGGAUAACUAGCCGAAAGGUUAGCUAAUACCGCAUACGAUCUCUGAGUGGCAUCACUCGGCGAUGAAAGGAGUAAUCCGUUGAAGGAGGGGACUGCGUCCCAUUAGUUAGUUGGUGGGGUAAUGGCCUACCAAGACUCCGAUGGGUAGCUGGCUUGAGAGGGCGACCAGCCACACUGGAACUGAGACACGGUCCAGACUCCUACGGGAGGCAGCAGUGAGGAAUUUUCCGCAAUGGGGGAAACCCUGACGGAGCGACGCCGCGUGUGGGAAGAAGGCCUUCGGGUCGUAAACCACUGUCGAGGGGGACGAUAUUGACGGUACCCCUGGAGGAAGCCCCGGCUAACUACGUGCCAGCAGCCGC